UACGGGAGGCGACAGUGGGGAAUAUUGGACAAUGGGGGCAAGCCCUGAUCCAGCAAUGCCGCGUGAGUGAAGAAGGCCUUAGGGUUGUAAAGCUCUUUUACCCGGGAAGAUAAUGACUGUACCCGGGAGAAUAAAGCCCCGGCUAACUCCGUGCCAGCAGCCGCGGUAAAUCUGCCUGAAACAC
rnacentral:rRNA from 1 species